AAGGGCACCACAAGAACGCGUGGAGCAUGUGGCUUAAUUUGACUCAACGCGGGAAAUCUUACCGGGUCCGGACACACUGAGGAUUGACAGGCAAUCAUGUGAAAUGUUUUUUUUAACUUUUACAUAUAAAUAUGCUAGUCCUUUCAUGAUUAUGUGAUAGGUGGUGCAUGGCCGUUCUUAGUUCGUGGAGUGAUCUGUCUGCUUAAUUGCGUUUCACAUGGGACUUGAACUCAAGUGUGCUACUUUUCUUGUUUUCAAAUUCAAGUAUUAUUUGAAAAAAUCUGUUGUUCAUGCUAUAAAAAUGAUUACAAAAGAAAUUAAUUUUUACUUAGUUUUCAUUAAGUGCUCAUAAAAUUUUUCCAUUUCUACAGAAUUGAUUACGAUUUUUGAAAAGUAUGUGCACAUUAGGUCCUGAAAGCAACGAACGUGACCGCAUCCUCUUGUUGCCUUUUACCUAAACAAGAAUUUAUUAGAUACUAAUAUUAUUAUGAUGUUAGUUAUUCUUUAUUUACAAGUUUUGACAAAAGAGUGCUUUAUAAAACUAGAGGGACCGCUGCGACUUUUUUAAACCAGAGGAAGGUUGCGGCAAUAACAGGCCUGUGAUGCCCUUAGAUGUUCCGGGCUGCACACGUGCUACAAUGAUUAUUGCAGUGAGCAUCUCAUUUUUAUAACGCUGUAUCACUAAUCAACCUUUUUUUAAAAGUUCUUCGUAUUGAUUGAUCAGUAAAGCCUGCUUCGAAAGUUUGCAGGUAAUCAAUUGGAAGUAAUGAUUUCCCUUAAUUCAAUUAUUUUUUGAUUUUGUGAGCACACAAUAUGCUGCUCCCUUCCCUGACAGUUAGCUUUUUUGGUCUUUCUGUCUUUCAGUGAGUUGGGAUGUUUUUUCAGCAUGUGCUUUUUGUCAAUUCAUGGUGGGGACAGACCAUUGUUAAUUGUUGGUCUCGGUCUUAACUAGGAAUGCCUUGUACGGGUCUUUGGUUCAACAAACCACCCGGAAUACGUCCCUGCCCUUUGUACACACCGCCCGUC
rnacentral:rRNA from 1 species